AAAAAAUUAAAAUAUUAUUAACUUAAUAAAAUCAUCCACUACAUAAUCAUUCAUUAUCUUUACAAUUAACCAUCUAAAGCUACCACGGUUCUUCAAUCAAAGUAUAUAUCUACAUAUAUAGAGAGAGUACACUUCAUAAUUUCGUCCCUUGUCUUCCGUAAACGUAGCACAGAAAUUUGAUACCCAGUAUUGUAAGGCUUCCUGCACAUAUUUAAAAAUAAUAGCAAGUCGAAAAAAUGAAGAAAAUAGGUCACUAGAGGCACUUAGUGCCAAAAUCAAUACACAAAGACAACAAUGUUGUGUUAUUUUCUUACUAAUCAAGGGACAUGGAAGAAGGUAAUAACCUUUUUAUUAACUACCAAAUUAAUAUCUAAAUCAAAUAUCCUGAAGAAGAAAAACAUGUGCUUCAUGAACCUCGUCCUGGUGGGUAUACUUUGACACACGUAUCAAGAUAAUAAUUGGUGCUCAUAAAUAAUGUUACAAGUGAACAGACAUUUUACAGGCUUAUAAUGAUGACAGUACAACUUGAUAAAUAUGUUUGAGCGUGUAGCGAAAGUCAAAACAUACUUGAUGAUUCUGCUGGAAAGGAAAUUGCUGAUUGCGAUAACUAUUUUUCCUGCUUAAUUGCAUGAUGUUUCUGGAACGAGUCUGAUGUUUGGUGCCUUAGCAGCAUGUCUUGUUGUAAUAUAUUUGGUUGUUGUUGCUAUAAUUGUCGUUGUGAAUCCUGUUGUGGCUCUUUUGCUCAAUUCACCUUCUCUAAAACAUAUAUUGUGAAAAUUCACCAAAUUAAACUAUGAAACACAUAUAACAGUCAAAAAAGCGUGAUUUACAAAGCAUAUGCUAGUUAUAUGGGAAUGUUGGAUAAACCAUUCAUCAUUUUCAGAGAACCAUCAUAUAUGAUAGUGAAGCCAUAUGAAAAUCAAUAGACAAGUCUAUCAAUUUAGCUGGUAAAAACAUGUUCAAUGUUGAGAUAAUGUCAACUGACAUGUAUAAUUUGACAUUUAGAUAUACUUAUCAAUAUUAUAUAUAUAUAUAUAUAUAUAUGUAAAAUCUAGACAUGGAUAAAAAGUCCCGAUUUACAAAGGAAGUCAAGCACAAGAAAAAAUAGAAAGAAUGAAAAUAACGUGAUAGAAAGGAAAUUGAUCUUGUGUAAGCAAUGCUCAGUUUUUAAAAGGUGAUCCUUUGAUAAUAAAGCAACCAAACUAACUUAUAAUGUUUACUAAACUAAGAUAUAUUUAAGGUAGGCAAAAAAUAGAGAAGAUUUUACCUUAAGAAAUAGUGCGCAAUAUGAUCGCAUGUACUUGCAUAUUAGCAAAAAAUAUUCUACUAUGUAUUGAUUCGAGUUCAUCUACCAACGUAGCAUAACCAUCGUGUACAUCUUUCAAUUCAUAGCUUGAUCAUCUAAAUUAUCUCAAAAAGAUGAAGAGCAAGAUUUCAUUACCCUAUGCUUCUCUUGGAUACUAUGGUUCCCUAUAAUUUUCAAAUGCAACAGAAUGUAACCUUCGUCUAAAGGUAGUAGAGGUUUUAUCCACUUUAUCAAUUUUCCUUUUUUUAAUCUUUUGGAUGAAGAGAUUUUCUAUCAAGUAUGAGUUAAUAUUUCCUCCAUAUUUACUCUUGUCAUGGACAUUUCUGUUAAUCUUCAGAGAAUUUCAAGACUACAAAAGUAACUGCUUACUAAAUUAUUUUGCCCCUGUAUUUCUUUCUUUUGUCAUUCCAAUUUAGCAGGCUUAUCCUAUCCUUGCCAAUAUUAAGUUUUAAUAUAACACAAGAUACCUGAUUUCUCCCUUUACCUUUCAACAUCAUGUUGCCAACAGCUACCAUCUGUCAAUCUGCAUAAUAUUGAAAAAGAACUAUUAGAUGAAAGAAAUAAACAUAUUCAAAGAACAAGGGUAUAAUUGCAAAGCAUUUACACUACAAGCACACAACUUUACAAAUAAUUAACGUGUGUGUGUGUGUGUCAGUGUGAGUAUAUAUAUAUUCACUCCCUCCAUUCUAGAGAUACAUUUUAAAAACUUUAUUUUUUUUCAAAUUAUCACUAACUUUAUUUUUUGGAAUGGACAAAAAAAUGCAUCUCUAAUUUGGAAGUGAGGGGAGUAUAAAAUUAAAUAAAAACAACUGAGAAAAAUAAGAAAAGAUUAAUUAUGUUAGUACUUAUGUGGUGAACAUGAAACAAACAAUGAAAACUUCUUCCAGAGUAUGUCAAUGUCAAAGGCAAUUAUAAUAAUAGACACUCUGCUAGGAACUUCUGCAUUAUUCACAUCUCUAUGCACACUGAUUCUAUUUUGCUUAUGUGUUAUGGGGAAAGUGCCUGCAACUGCUACAACUUACGCCCCUCCGCAUUUUAAUUCUAACUGCUUAUUUGCUUAGAACUCCCCCUUACCCAAUUCUUCCUUCUGCAGAGCUAUAGCAAGAGCUAUUUCCUACCAUAUAGCUAUUGACUUCAGCUGCCAGUUUUCUAUAAGUCCAUGAAGCCAGCAUCUACAAUAAAUGCAAGGAUUUCUUCUGUUUAAACUAAAAUAACCAAACAUGAAGAAUAUUGGUGAUGUUGUUCUCAUUUAUGUAGUCUACAAGUGCCUUCGAAACAUCAUUACCAUCAAGAACAAUGCUUCUCGCUUGAAUCUGAAACAGCAUUCAAAAUCAAUUGAAACAUUAGUCGAAAUGCUACAUGGUCUUCUACAUUGCAUUAUAUCACCAAUUAACAUACCCCUUUUCGUCCACAGUAUGUAUGGAAGGCUUUAAAAAGUCAUUGCGUAGCAUCAAUUAAUUGACCAUUCCCAUCUGGAGCACUACCAUCCAUAUCAGCAGUCUCUUCAAAGUGUCCCAUUGUAAAUGAAAUUAGAGCCACAAAAAUUUGUAUUACAAUGCUUUAUAGACAUUUUUUAUUCUGAGGCACAACCAAAAUAGUCAUUUUAAACAAUACCGCAAGUGCCAAUUUCCAAUAACAGUAUCAGCACAAUCUUGAAGUCCCAUUUCUAUAAUUGUACUCUCAACCAACGACUACUUCUCUUGCCCAAGCCAUUUUGCCAGGGAGACGAAGGUGAGCUGAAUAUGAAAUUGUUUCGCAAACCGUGAGAUCACCAAUCAAGUUAUCAUCUUGAGUUACAUAUGCCUGAAUGAUGAUCCAUUUGAAACAGAAAAAUCAUUUAAUCAAUUUCUACAAAUUAACGAAUUUAAAUUACUUGAAUCACAAGUUUUGUAUGCAUUUAUAGUAAAAAAAAAAAGGAAAUUAAAUCAUCUAGAGAAAAAGAUGUGCAUAAUUCUUUCCAGUUGUAAUUAAAGCAUAACACUACAGACUAACAUGAAGUCAGCAAAACACAAUCCAACAGCAAUCAAACAAGAAUCAAUCACAUAUAUACACUAUUCCUCUUUUCAGCUAUCAAACAAACAAAUUCAAGAUGAUGGUUCAAUUUAAUGGUAUAAAUAAACAGAAAUUGAUACAUAUCCCAUACACACAUAUACUCCAUCCGUCCAAAAAUGAGUCACAUUUAACAGAAAACAUAGGCAUACUUAGUACAUUUUCAACAGAGAAGGGCUGUUCCUGUGAUGGGCAAACAAAGAGGAAAAGAACAAAGAAGAAAUUAGGGUUCUAAAUUGAGAAAAAGAAGAGAAACUAACUGGAAGUUACAAUUGAGAAAUACAGAUAAGUUUUCUAUAACAAGCUAUUACAGAAAUUUACGGUAUAACAUGCCAGCGGCAAUUUGAGAGCUGAGAGUUUUAAUUUGAGAGAGGAUAACUUCAAUUUCAGAUAAAAGAGUUUCAAUUUCGAGACCAGUGGGAAGGUAGCGACGAGGUAGCGGCGGCGGCAAGGCAGGGAGACAAGGCGGCGACAAGAUAUAGAUCUACGAGCCACCUUGGAGAGGGCAGAGUCACUAUUUGGGAUUUGGGGUUUUGGGUUAGGCUAGAGACAGAGCGAGAGAGCGAGAGAGCUAGAGACUGAUUUGGGUAAUUAUUGUCGAGCAGUCGUGCAUCCUUACUGUUUUAGAUUUUUAAGUAAAAAAAAUU
rnacentral:lncRNA from 1 species